UUCUUUAAGAUAAUAAAUUAAAGUAAAACCUGCUCAAUGAAGGUUUCUUAAAUAGCCGCAGUAUACUGUGCUAAGGUAGCAUAAUAACUUGCUUUCUAAUUAAAAGAUAGAAUGAAGGGUUAAACAUUUAAAACAAGUUUCUAUAAAAUAAACUAAAUUAAGCUAAAAGUAAAAACUCUUUUAAUAAAAAGUGGGACGAUAAGACCCUGAUAAACUUAACAUUCAGUUGGGGAAACUAAAUAAUAAUAAUUUAUAAAUCCAUUAACACAACUUAAUUAAAAUAAAAGGAUAGUUACUACAGGGAUAACAGCGCWAAUUUCUUUUUAGAGACCUCAUCAAAAAAGAAGAUUACGACCUCGAUGUUGAAUUAAUUAACCUAAAUAAACGUAAUAGUUAUAAAAGGUAGUCUGUUCGACUAUUAAAAAAUU
rnacentral:rRNA from 1 species